GUGGGGAAUCUUGCACAAUGGGCGAAAGCCUGAUGCAGCGACGCCGCGUGCGGGACGAAGGCCCUCGGGUCGUAAACCGCUUUCAGCAGGGACGAGGCCGAAAGGUGACGGUACCUGCAGAAGAAGCCCCGGCUAACUACGUGCCAGCAGCCGCGGUAAUACGUAGGGGGCGAGCGUUAUCCGGAUUCAUUGGGCGUAAAGCGCGCGUAGGCGGCCUGUCUGGUCGGGAGUCAAAUCCGGGGGCUCAACCCCCGCACGCUCCCGAUACCGGCGGGCUUGAGUCUGGUAGGGGAAGGCGGAAUUCCCGGUGUAGCGGUGGAAUGCGCAGAUAUCGGGAAGAACACCGGUGGCGAAGGCGGCCUUCUGGGCCAGGACUGACGCUGAGGCGCGAGAGCUAGGGGAGCGAACAGGA
rnacentral:rRNA from 1 species